rnacentral:rRNA from 1 species
AGUGAACGCUGGCGGCGUGCUUAACACAUGCAAGUCGAACGCGAAAGUGUAGCAAUACAUGAGUAGAGUGGCGAACGGGUGAGUAAUAUGUGGGUAAUCUAGCUUUCAGAGGGGGAGUAACCCGGGAAACCGUAGGGCGUAAUACCGCGUAACAUUUUGUUGCACUAAGGUGUAUAAAAUACAAACAAUGGCCUCUAUUUAUAAGCUAUGGCUGGAAGAUGAGCCCACAGCCUAUCACGCUUGUUGGUGGGGUAAAGGACCC